ACAUACUUAACUCAAUGGUUAGAGUAUUGGUUUCAUAUGAUAGGGGUCAUUGGUUCAAAUACAAUAGUAGGUA
rnacentral:tRNA from 1 species